rfam:Vavraia culicis subsp. floridensis unplaced genomic scaffold supercont1.13, whole genome shotgun sequence.
GGGGAAGUAGUUCAGUGGUAGAAUGUUUGCUUUGCACGCAAGAGGUCCGGGGUUCGGUUCCCCGCUUCUCCA